rnacentral:rRNA from 1 species
GGAACCUGGUUGAUCCUGCCAGUAGCAUACGCUUGUCUCAAAGAUUAAGCCAUGCAUGUCUAAGUAUAAACAACUUUAUACCGUGAAACUGCGAAUGGCUCAUUAUAUCAGUUAUAGUUUAUUUGAUGGUCCUUGCUACUUGGAUAACCGUAGUAAUUCUAGAGCUAAUACAUGCAUUCAACCCCGACUUCUGG